rnacentral:misc_RNA from 1 species
AACGCACCUUGCACUCUUGCGUAAUCCCAAGAGCAUGCCUGUUUGAGUGUCAUGAAUCUCUCACCAAGCAAGUUUUUUUUAAUGAAAGUUUUGCGGCGAGGAUCUGAGCGGUUGCCUGCGAUAAGCUUGUGCUCGCUUGAAAUGGAGUAGCGAGUUUGUAUGAAUGCAAACCUUGCCGUUCCUCGUUAUGGUUUCCUUCGAUGAGUUAGCGGCUUGGCGAACGAGUUAUAAUAUAAGUCUUGCUUCCAAGCGCGUUGUAAGGACGCAACUAUUUUUUUUUUCAUCUGGAAUAAAAUCAGGUAGGACUACCCGCUGAACUUAA